CUUGGUCAUUUAGAGGAAGUAAAAGUCGUAACAAGGUCUCCGUUGGUGAACCAGCGGAGGGAUCAUUACCGAGUUAUUACUCCAAACCCUUUGUGAACCUUACCAUUUUGUUGCUCGGCGCACCGCGGGCCGCGGCUUCGGCCCGUCCCGCAGCGCGCCAGAGGACCCAACUCUUCAAUUUAUAGCGUACCUUCUGAUUUACAAAACAAACAAGUUAAAACUUUCAACAACGGAUCUCUUGGUUCUGGCAUCGAUGAAGAACGCAGCGAAAUGCGAUAAGUAAUGUGAAUUGCAGAAUUCAGUGAAUCAUCGAAUCUUUGAACGCACCUUGCGCCCAUCAGUAUUCUGUUGGGCAUGCCUGUUCGAGCGUCAUUUCCACCCUCAAGCCCUGGCUGCUUGGUGUUGGGGUGCUCUACAGCCUGCUGUAGGCCCCAAAAAUCAGUGGCGGUCUCACUGGGACUCCGAGCGUAGUAGAUUUCUCUCGCUUAGGGGCGACCGGUGGGUUUCCAGCCGUUAAAACCCCCAAAUUUUAAAAGGUUGACCUCGGAUCAGGUAGGAAUACCCGCUGAACUUAAGCAUAUCAAUAAGCGGAGGA
rnacentral:rRNA from 1 species